GUCCACGCCGUAAACGUUGGGCGCUAGGUGUGGGGGCCAUUCCACGGUCUCUGUGCCGUAGCUAACGCAUUAAGCGCCCCGCCUGGGGAGUACGGCCGCAAGGCUAAAACUCAAAGGAAUUGACGGGGGCCCGCACAAGCGGCGGAGCAUGUGGAUUAAUUCGAUGCAACGCGAAGAACCUUACCUGGGUUUGACAUGCGCCAGACGCGUCUAGAGAUAGGCGUUCCCUUGUGGUUGGUGUGCAGGUGGUGCAUGGCUGUCGU
rnacentral:rRNA from 1 species